GACGGAGGGUGCUAGCGUUGUUCGGAAUUACUGGGCGUAAAGGGCGCGUAGGCGGCCUGGCAAGUCGGAUGUGAAAGCCCGGGGCUCAACCUCGGAACGGCAUUCGAAACUGCUGGGCUGGAGAACGGAAGAGGAGAGUGGAAUACCCAGUGUAGAGGUGAAAUUCGUAGAUAUUGGGUGGAACACCGGUGGCGAAAGCGGCUCUCUGGUCCGGUUCUGACGCUGAGGCGCGAAAGCGUGGGGAGCAAACAGG
rnacentral:rRNA from 1 species